rnacentral:rRNA from 1 species
GACGAACGCUGGCGGCGUGCUUAACACAUGCAAGUCGAACGGAAAGGCCCUGCUUGCAGGGUACUCGAGUGGCGAACGGGUGAGUAACACGUGGGUGAUCUGCCCUGCACUUCGGGAUAAGCCUGGGAAACUGGGUCUAAUACCGGAUAGGAGCCAUUUUUAGUGUGAUGGUUGGAAAGUUUUUUCGGUGUAGGAUGAGCUCGCGGCCUAUCAGCUUGUUGGUGGGGUAAUGGCCUACCAAGGCGGCGACGGGUAGCCGGCCUGAGAGGGUGGACGGCCACAUUGGGACUGAGAUACGGCCCAGACUCCUACGGGAGGCAGCAGUGGGGAAUAUUGCACAAUGGGCGCAAGCCUGAUGCAGCGACGCCGCGGGGGGGAUGACGGCCUUCGGGUUGUAAAAUCCUUUCGCUAGGGACGAAGCUUUUUGUGACGGUACCUAGAUAAGAAGCACCGGCUAACUACGUG